GAACCAGAAUGUAGUCGGUGUUGAGAUAGUCAAUCCUCUGACUUUUAUAGUGAAAAUCGAAGUAUAUCCGAUGUCAAGAUAGUCGAUCUUUUGAUUUUUACAGUAAAAGUCAAAGUAUAUUCGAUGUCAAGAUAAUUGAUCCUCUGACUUUUACAGUGAAAGUCGAAGUAUAUUCAGUGUCGCUUUAAAAUCACAGUCAGGACGUCAAUUUUUACAAGAGGACCAAAAUAUAGUCGACAUUAAAGUAGUUGAUUCUUUGAGUAGUUGCAUUCGGAAGGA
rnacentral:lncRNA from 1 species